GGGUUGUGAGGUUAAGUGACUAAGCGUACACGGUGGAUGCCUAGGCAGUCAGAGGCGAUGAAGGGCGUGCUAAUCUGCGAAAAGCGUCGGUAAGGUGAUAUGAACCGUUACAACCGGCGAUACCCGAAUGGGGAAACCCAGUGUGUUUCGACACACUAUCAUGUCAUGAAUACAUAGUGGCAUGAGGCGAACCGGGGGAACUGAAACAUCUAAGUACCCCGAGGAAAAGAAAUCAACCGAGAUUCCCCCAGUAGCGGCGAGCGAACGGGGAGGAGCCCAGAACCUGAAUCGGCUUGUGUGUUAGUGGAAGCGUCUGGAAAGUCGC
rnacentral:rRNA from 1 species